rnacentral:tRNA from 1 species
GAGGGUACAGCUCAAGUGGUAGAGCGUGUGCUUAGCAUGCAUGAGGUCCUAGGUUCAAUCCCCAGUAUCUCCA